UUAAACUUGGAGAUGAUCAUAUUCAACGUCAUACUUUGCAAAAUCAACAUAAUCACAGAUUCAAACUAGUAGAAGAAUUCAAACUUUUUUCAUUAUUAUAAUUUUCUUGCAACUCGUAAUUAGUUCAUUUUGCUCAAGAAUAACUCGUCACCCCACCUAAAUAAAUAUGUGAUCCCAAAAAUCAGUUUUAAUUGAUAAAAUGGCUAACAAGAAUCUGAUCAUAGCAACUCUUUUGGCCAUCAUCUUCGUAUUGUCUCUUGCCUCGAUGUGCGAUGCAUCUCGACUGAGUUAUCAAGAAUUUGGCGCUAAGUUAGAAAAAUGUGGCCCGUGUUUCUGUUGCCAACCGAAUAAUCCGCUGUGCUGCCUCUGCGCCUGCCCCGUGCCGCCGUGAAAAGCUACAGUUUGAGACCAGAUUUUUCUGCUUCAUUAAUUAUGAUUAGUAUGAGGAUGUAAUAAACUUGAUUUGGUUUGUUGUUUGAUGAAUAAAUUUAUGUUCCGUAAA